rnacentral:rRNA from 1 species
AACGAACGCUGGCGGCAUGCCUAACACAUGCAAGUCGAACGAGACCUUCGGGUCUAGUGGCGCACGGGUGCGUAACGCGUGGGAACCUGCCUUUAGGUUCGGAAUAACUCCCCGAAAGGGGUGCUAAUACCGGAUAAUGUCUUCGGACCAAAGAUUUAUCGCCUUUGGAUGGGCCCGCGUUGGAUUAGCUAGUUGGUAGGGUAAAAGCCUACCAAGGCGACGAUCCAUAGCUGGUCUGAGAGGAUGAGCAGCCACACUGGGACUGAGACACGGCCCAGACUCCUACGGGAGGCAGCAGUGGGGAAUAUUGGACAAUGGGCGAAAGCCUGAUCCAGCAAUGCCGCGUGAGUGAUGAAGGCCUUAGGGUUGUAAAGCUCUUUUACCCGGGAUGAUAAUGACAGUACCGGGAGAAUAAGCUCCGGCUAACUCCGUG